CGUAGGUGGCGAGCGUUGUCCGGAUUUACUGGGCGUAAAGCGCGCGUAGGCGGAUUGGUUAGUCCGGGGUGAAAUCUCACGGCUCAACUGUGAGCGGUCCCCGGAUACUGCCAGUCUUGAGGUGUCUAGAGGAGAGCGGAAUUCCCGGUGUAGUGGUGGGAUGCGUAGAUAUCGGGAAGAACACCAGUGGCGAAAGCGGCUCUCUGGGGACCACCUGACGCUGAUGCGCGAAAGCGUGGGGAGCGAACCGGAUUAGAUACCCGGGUAGUCCACGCCGUAAACGAUGAGCACUAGCUGUCGGGGGUAUCGACCCCCUCGGUAGCGCAGCCAACGCGAUAAGUGCUCCGCCUGGGGACUACGGCCGCAAGGCUA
rnacentral:rRNA from 1 species